GACCCUAUGAAGCUUGACUGUAUCUUGGAAUUGGGUUCGGGCUUUUCUUGCGCAGCCUAGGUGGGAGGCUUUGAGGGUUUCCUUCCGGGGAAAUCGGAGCCAUCAGUGAGAGACCACUCUGGAAGAGCUAGAAUCCUAAUGGUGAUCUUUGAAUCAAGACACUUGACAGUUUCAGGUGGGCAGUUUAUCUGGGGCGGAUGCCUCCUAAAGCGUAACGGAGGCGUGCAAAGGUUCUCUCAGUCUGGACGGAAAUCAGACAGCGAGUGUAAAGGCAAAAGAGAGCUUGACUGUAAGACCAACAAGUCGAGCAGGGGCGAAAGCCGGCCUUAGUGAUCCGACGGUGCCGUGUGGAACGGCCGUCGCUCAACGGAUAAAAGUUACUCUAGGGAAAACAGGCUGAA
rnacentral:rRNA from 1 species